rnacentral:rRNA from 1 species
AUUGAACGCUGGCGGCAGGCCUAACACAUGCAAGUCGAGCGGAUGAAGGGAGCUUGCUCCUGGAUUCAGCGGCGGACGGGUGAGUAAUGCCUAGGAAUCUGCCUGGUAGUGGGGGAUAACGUCCGGAAACGGGCGCUAAUACCGCAUACGUCCUGAGGGAGAAAGUGGGGGAUCUUCGGACCUCACGCUAUCAGAUGAGCCUAGGUCGGAUUAGCUAGUUGGUGGGGUAAAGGCCUACCGAGGCGACGAUCCGUAACUGGUCUGAGAGGAUGAUCAGUCACACUGGAACUGAGACACGGUCCAGACUCCUACGGGAGGCAGCAGUGGGGAAUAUUGGACAAUGGGCGAAAGCCUGAUCCAGCCAUGCCGCGUGUGUGAAGAAGGUCUUCGGAUUGUAAAGCACUUUAAGUUGGGAGGAAGGGCAGUAAGUUAAUACCUUGCUGUUUUAACGUUACCAACAGAAUAAGCACCGGCUAACUUCGUG